rnacentral:lncRNA from 1 species
UAGUUUAUAGUCCAACAUUAUAUAUUACAUUUAAUUAAAAUUUAUUUAUUAUUAUUUUCAUGGUCCCACUUCCAGUCUCACAGCAAAUCAUAUGCUCCUGGAGACAUAAGACUAUGUACUCUUUGCUCAACUUUUAAUUUUCUGUAGCGUUAGAAUAAUGCCUAACACAUACUAAAUGAAUGGUAAAUGUUUGCUGCAUUGAUUUUAUUUAAUAAUUGUUAUCUCUUUGCAAUUACAAUAAAUGCCAAAUUCAUGUUUUGGUGAAUUAUUUUAUUAUGAUUUUGUCUUUUUAAAAAAUUAAAUGAAAUUGUAUUCUUUUUAAAAAAUGAAUUGCUUCAUGUUUUUCUGUCAUCCCUGUGAGAGGACAUGUUGACCUUCUCCAGAUUGUACCAAUUUUAAGAUAUUUUCUGCAAAAGCAUGCAUCAUUUUAUUUUACUAAUGUAAUGAAAAAUUGUAUCCGUGAGUUUACCAUUAACAUUUGAAAUGCAAUUUGAGGCUAUCAUUUUAACUUGUUUACUAAAAUGAUAUUCUUUAUAACUAUUUGCUUGUGUCUUUGCCCAUUUGUAUCCUCAGUUUAAUUGGUAAAACAGGAAUUAAACUUAAAUUUUAAACUAUUUUUCUUUAAUUUCCUCUAGGCUUUUUAAAGACUUUGGAUUUUUAUUUACAGCUAUAAUUCAGAAAUUUCAAAAUUUUGUAUAGUUUCAUUUGGUUUUGGGGCAAGAAAUAGCUUCGUUCCUAUAUAGUUAAAAAGUUAUUGACUACUGUUUUACUUCAUCACUCUACUAUGGACUAAAUGUUGUUUUAUUUUAUUUGAGGCAUUCUGGAUGUUAAUAUUUGGUAUAAUGACAAAUAUUGCAUUUAGAGUGUAUUUAGGGAUGAAUUGUUAUUUUUUGUGAUAAUCUGAAUAUAUUUUUUCCCAAACAUGCAGAACUAUUACCUAGAGAUAUUUUAAUUUGAAAUGUUUAAACAAUUCUUUUUUUUUUUUUUUUUUUUUGUCUUCUAGGCUGCAUUGGCAGCAUAUGGAGGUUCCCAGGCUAGGGGUCGAAUCAGAGCUACAGCCUCCAGCCUAUGCCAGAGCCACAGCAACGUGGUAUCUGAGACAUGUCUGCAAUCUACACCACAGCUCACAGCAAUGCCACAUCCUUAACCCCCUGAGCGAGGACAGGGAUGGAACCCACAUCCUCAUGGAUGCUAGUCAAGUUCAUUAACCACUGAGCCUCGAUGGGAACUCCUAAAGAAUUUUUUUUGAUAUAUGGGUUAAUUUUCAGUUUUUCCAACUUUUUGAUAUAAUGCAAUGUGGUUUUUGUUUUUUUGGGUUUUUUUGUUUGUUUGUUUGUUUUUAAGCCUAAGUUUCCUAACUUGGAGAUGGUUCUUUGGGACAUGAAUCCUGUAAUGGGUUGAUUUUUGCAGCACUUGUUUUAUUAUUGAUUGAUUAGCAUGUAUUUUAAUAUCUAAUAAGUCUAGUUCCCCCAUUAUUGUUCUUUUGAGACUAUUAUGAGGUAUUCUUUACUAAUUAAUGGUCCAGAUACAAUUUAUCAUCUGAAUGUUUUGGUCUAAGAAAGAACUUAUGAUUUUGAUUUAGAUUUUAUUGAACAUAUUAUUUUAGAAAAGGACCAAAGUCAUUUUAUACAUGACUGUCUCUUCCCAUCCAGGAACAUGGCAUUUGUUUUCAUUUUUUUAUUUUUAUUUUUUCAAGUUUUUCUUUUUUUUUUUAACUUUAUUUCCCAAAUACAUUUUUUUUUUCUACUGAACAGCAUGGUGACCCAGUUACACAUACACAUAUAUAUUCUUUUUACUAACAUUAUCGUGCUCCAUUAUAAGUGACUAGACAUAGUUCCCAGUGUUACACAGCAGGAUCUUAUUGAUAAUCCAUUCCAAAGGCAAUAGUCUGCAUCUCUUAACCCCAAGCUCCCAAUCCAUCCCCCUCCCCCAUGGCAACCACAAGUCUGUUCUCCAAGUCCAUGUAUUUUCUUUUCUGUGGACAAAUAUAACUUUCUUCCAUUAAUAUUGUAAUGAGAUACAUUUUUUCCCAUUUUUUAAAGUUUUAUUGAAGUACAGUUUAUCUACAACAGUGUGAUAAUUUUCUUCCAUACAACAAAGUGAUUCGGUUGCAUAGGUACACACAUCCAUUCUUUUUCAGAUUCUUUUCCCAUGUAAUCAUGGAAUAUUGGGUAGAGUUUCCUGUGUUAUACAACAGGUUCCCAACGGCCAGUCAUUCCAUAUACCGUAACGUACAUACGCCAAUCCCAAACCCCAAGCCCAUCCCUCCCCAACCUGUCCCCUUUGGUAACCAUAUGUUUGUUUCUAAAGUCUGUAGUCUGCUUCUAUUCUGCAGGUAAAUUCAUUUGUAUCCUUUUUUAGAUUCCACAUAUAAGCGAUAUUAUGUGAUCUUUGUCUUUCACUGUCUAACUUCACUUAAUAUGAUAAUCUCUAGGUCCAUCCAUGUUGCUGCAAAGGACAUUAUUUCAUUCUUUGUAUGGCUGACUAAUAUUUCAUGAAAUACUUUUUAAUUUUUUUAACAUCCUACUUGGUUAUUCAGGAAUGUUGUUUGAGUAUUAUUAAGUUGUGCAUAAUUGCAUGUAAUCGUUUAAUUUCCUGAUAAUGAUGUAUCUCUUUCUUUCUUGUACAUGUGUACAUGUCCUUUCAAUAGAUGGUGAAGUAUACAUGUUUCAGGAAUGACGUUCAUUAUCAUGACAAGUUACCAGAUUUUAUUUCCAUUUUCAUUGUUUUUUAUUGAUAAAUAAGUACUGAAUUCAAACAAAUGUUCUUAGAUGGUAUUUAUUGGAAUUGUUGUAUUUUUGCACACAUAUCUGAAAAUAGUUUAUUGCACUGUCCUUCUAUUGAGCAAUGAUGGAAUUUCUUAGCUAAAUUUUCUAAAUCACAAUAAAUUAUUCUACCAUUUCACUCAAUCUCAUAUUACUGUUUUUCUCCUUACUCUGAAAAGAAGGAGAUGGAAAUUUGCUUUGAUGAAAGCAGUUUUAUUCAAAUAUCUAAAACGUAGGCAAUCUAUAUCUAAGAGUUUACUGAAAUGCUUAUGGGAAGCUCUGUCUCCUCUGGCAAGGCUUGCUGACAUGUGUUUACUGAAGGGUGAUUAGAAAGUGUUACUCAACAUUCCCAAUAGGCUGGUCAGUUUUCCAACACUUUUUAGCCUGAGAUAGUUGUCAGGAUAGUGAUGGAGUCUGAAGGGGUGUUAUCCCAAUUCAGCAUACAGACUUUCACUUACUCCUUCUUUGAUAAUACUGUAUCUCAUCCCUGCUGUCAACCGCUUCUCUGCUCUAUGACACAGUUUCUCUAGAAAUCAACACUUGAGCUGCAGUGAUAGGUGAUUAAUCACAGCCACAAAAAGGCAUGUGUAAACAAUGCUUUUGUUUCAGGCUUUCUACCAUCCUUCCUGUUUUAUGACUUACCCCCACACCCCUCUACAUGCUUUCCCCUGGAGAUAGUGGGCACCUUCAAAUCCUGAGUCUUUCUAGAGUUUUAUGAUAUAAAUUGGCUUAUGUAUCCCGACUUCUCUCCAAAAACUCACUUAGAUUUCCAUUGCAGUUAUUCCAUCCAUAUGCUACCAAAAUUUUAUUGACUUCACUAGAGUUCUUUUAUUUCCUUUGUCAUUUUCUUUGUCUCUUGUGGGCUAAUGUUUUUAUUUUUUCAAACUGUGUAAGUGCCAUUUUAGUCAGGUUUCUGGGGAGCAGAGAGAAAUUUCUGUGUCUAUCAUGUUCUUCAGGAAGUCCCUGUCACAAUAUACACACAUACUGUCUGUGGUGGACGGAGCCAGUUUUCUCUUUACCCAUUGCUAACAGGACUUUGAAGAAGCAGGCCCUUACUGACUCAAGAUAAUCAUCAUCGUUGAUGGAGAGGAGGGUCAAGCGUCUUCUAGCUCUUGGCCUUAUUUUUCCUUAUGGAGAGUAGUACUCCCCACUCAUCACCCAGUCUUCCCUAUGGGAAAAAAGUGAUGGCUGAUUGUGAAUUGGAAGGAGAAAUCCAGUGUUCUCCUUCAACAUUUUUCUUUCUUGUUAGAUUCCUCCUUCCACCCCCACUCCAGCAAGGCAGCAUGGAUAAACUUAGUAGUACAGGCUUUGCCUUAAUGAGGGGCUCUAGAGAUCUUUGGUUGAAAUGUGAAACAACCCAUUGACCACAGUCCAAGCCAUGUUUUCCAUUUAGUCUGUAAGUAAAAGUGCUGAUAUUUUGCUCUCCAUAUGUCUAUAACUUAUGUGUUAUUUUUCAUUUGUUUCUGAACUUGGGAAGGAAAGAAAGAGCUAUUAUUCAUUGUAUCUAUGCUCUCUCCUACUCUUGAAACAAAGUAACCCUACAAGCUUAAUUCUAUUCCCAGGGCAGCAAUGUUUGGUUUAGUGAUAAACAUGAAGCCUGUGCUUAAAUCAUUAGUGCAUAAGCACUCUUUUGUCUUGUGAUUAUUGAGAGUUGGCAGCAUCUAAGUAUCUAUGGAGUGAAGACCAAGGAUUUCAUUUGAUAUUUUGACCCUCUAGUUGUUUUUAUGAGAAGAUGUCAUACUGGGAACAAUUGCAAAUAUUUUGUACCAACUAUGACAAAACCAGCUGGUACAUAAAAAGAGGAAUUUAGAUCAGAGAACUGAGACAGAACCCAGAUAGACUUUCACCUGAAGUUCACACUACUUCUAGACUUUUGAUUUAUCUGGACCAGUACGUUUCUUUUCAUGUAUGAGCCAAUUUGAGAUGGUUUCUCACCACUGAAAGUACUAUUGCACUGUUGAAUUUGCUUGUCUAGGAUUUCUGUAGAAUUUUCACAUUUGUGAAAACGUUCAAGUUUCCAAACAGCAUUUCAUAGAACAUUAGGGUAAUGCCCAGACCACUUGAGGAGUAACAGUGCCCUGGGCUUCUGACUCUUAAAUUCACAAGUCAAAAUAAGUUUUAUCCAGGUCAACGUAUUCUUAGCUUUAAGACAGGGUAUAUGAUGUCCUCACUGUAGGAAUGAUAGCAACAACUCAGAGGUGUUGGGAUUCCUACGUGUGUCUUAUGAUAUCCAUAUGCCCAGUGUUGAGAUGAAUAUGGUCACAUGAGACAAGGCAAGUAUGAACCACCUCAGUUCAGGAAAGCCGUCUGCUCUGUGGGUCUUUUCAGCUUUUAUAACUUGAAGACGUACAUGGCAUCCUCCUCAGAUGAACAUGACUGGCCCCCACUCUCCAGUACAGGUAAUCUCAAUACUCUUACUUGUUACUCAGUCAACAAUCUCAACAAUGACAUCCAAGUGUAUCGUCUGGAAAAUAGGAACCUCAGAUGGAUUCUUUCUAAUCUUGGGUCUGAUAUGCUCUUAUAAUUCCUUGAAUUUAUAUGCAAAGAGGAUUUUUAAAAAUGUCAAUCCCUCAAUUGUCUCUGAGGCUAGAAGAUAAAUCAUAGAUCUGUUUUAAACUUUCUCCGUCAAAUUAGUAUCCUGUGAAUAUUAACGACAGUUAACAAGGAAGUAACAAUAACUACAAUAUAUGCUGGGUACCAAGUAAAGUGCUAUACAUAUUGUU